GCCAGACUCCUACGGGAGGCAGCAGUGGGGGAUAUUGCACAAUGGGGGAAACCCUGAUGCAGCGACGCCGCGUGUGGGAAGACGGUCCUCUGGAUUGUAAACCACUGUCCCCAGGGACGAAGAUGACGGUACCUGGGGAGGAAGCUCCGGCUAACUACGUGCCAGCAGCCGCGGUAAUACGUAGGGAGCAAGCGUUGUCCGGAAUUACUGGGUGUAAAGGGAGCGUAGACGGCCAAGCAAGCCAGGGGUGAAAGCCCGGGGCCCAACCCCGGGACUGCCCUUGGAACUGCAUGGCUGGAGUGCGGGAGGGGCAGGCGGAAUUCCUGGUGUAGUGGUGAAAUGCGUAGAUAUCAGGAGGAACACCGGCGGCGAAGGCGGCCUGCUGGACCGCGACUGACGUUGAGGCUCGAAAGCGUGGGGAGCAAACAGGAUUAGAUACCCUAGUA
rnacentral:rRNA from 1 species